rnacentral:tRNA from 1 species
AGGGUUGUGGCUCAGUGGUAGAGUGCUCAUCUCACAUGUGUGAGGCACUAGGUUCGAUCCUCAUCUCUA